rnacentral:lncRNA from 1 species
CUGCGAGAAAGUAAACUUUGGGCACGACAAGUCAUGAAGUCGGCACGUUGGGGAGACACCGUGUCACAAUGACAAGGUUUCUAGUUCGUGCUUUGUUCAGAUUGCCCAGAAGCUGAUGAUCACAGAGAAGAGGUCAUAUUUGUCAUGAGAAAGCUUUCCUGCACCAGGAUUCAGUAAAGGCGUUUACCAGCAGGGCCCAUGGUGCCUCCAGAGGCAGGAUGGUGCUCAAAACCCAUCACUGAGGCCAGGAAGUGAGGACAAAAGUUGAGGGCUGCCCAUAGGAAAGAGAAAAAAUGCUCCCUUUGGGUUUCCAAGUAGUUACUGCUUAUUGUUGCAUCAGUCUUGCUCCUGACCACGAUGUGUUCCUUGUUCAUUCUCCUUGGUAUCCCACUGAUUGUGCAUCUAUGAAAAAGAAGACAGGAUCGGGGGUGGUGCAAAGAACAACUGCAUCCUUCUAGAGCUGAUGCCCUGGUGAGCUCUGAAGCACACUUAGCAGAGCCUGAAAUCUACUCUCCCUGUGGGGUGUUUGUGUAGCAUUCCUAUUAAUUAUUCAUUAAAUAUUUAGCAGAAUUUACCAGUGAAGCUAUCUGAACCUUUUUUAUGGGAAGGAAUUUUAUUAACCUCUUUACCUGUUGUAAGUAUAUUAAUAUAUUACCUUUCUUCUUGGAUUAAUUUUGAUAAUUUGUG